AACGAACGCUGGCGGCAGGCCUAACACAUGCAAGUCGAGCGGACCCUUCGGGGUUAGCGGCGGACGGGUGAGUAACGCGUGGGAAUAUGCCCUUCUCUACGGAAUAGUCCUGGGAAACUGGGGGUAAUACCGUAUACGCCCUUUGGGGGAAAGAUUUAUCGGGGAAGGAUUAGCCCGCGUUGGAUUAGGUAGUUGGUGGGGUAAUGGCCUACCAAGCCGACGAUCCAUAGCUGGUUUGAGAGGAUGAUCAGCCACACUGGGACUGAGACACGGCCCAGACGCCUACGGGAGGCAGCAGUGGGGAAUGUUAGACAAUGGGGGCAACCCUGAUCGAGCCAUGCCGCGUGAGUGAUGAAGGCCUUAGGGUUGUAAAGCUCUUUCAGCUGGGAAGAGAAUGACGGGACCAGAAGAAGAAGCCGCGGCUAACUCCGUG
rnacentral:rRNA from 1 species